UUUCCAUACAGAGUGAUGACUGGGGCUCCAACUGUCUUUGGGAGGGGGUGGGAAUUUAAUUGGGCUUUUUGUGCUGUCUGGCUCCGUGGUCGUGGUCAUCGAACUUUCAGCACACAACCCAUGUCAUGUUCGCCCUGGGUCGUUUCGGCCCCGGGGUUCAAUUAUGGUUCUUGGGUUGCCUACCAAUUAAGUGGUAAUCAUGUGCCUCUUAUGACCCGUUCCAUCCAGGCCCCUUGUAAGGGUCCUUGGAAGAAUCCAAAAUGGUGCGUGGGAUGAAUUGGCUGUGCACUGGAACGGCUUGGCUUCUCACACGUGUCCAGUGUUCCCUUGGAUGCCGUGCAUGCCGCGAAAGUGGGCUGAAUCUGAACAAUCUGUCCCGUUGAAUCCCUUCCAAUUAUCGGUUCCCUUGAAUGAAACUUUGCCCUGGUGUGGGUCUUGCUUAACCAUUCCUGGGGGCAACACUUGCACCUGGAACAAAAUCCUUGAAG
rnacentral:misc_RNA from 1 species